GGAAUGUGGCUUAGUGGUAGAGUGCUUGCCUAGCAUGCAUGAAACCCUGAGUUUGAUUCCUCAGCACCA
rnacentral:tRNA from 1 species